AUGGUUAAGUUAGAAAGGGCGCACGGUGAAUGCCUUGGCACUAGGAGCCGAUGAAGGACGGGACUAACACCGAUAUGCUUCGGGGAGCUGUAAGUGAGCUUUGAUCCGGAGAUUUCCGAAUGGGGAAACCCACUGUUCGUAAUGGGACAGUAUCUUUAUCUGAAUACAUAGGAUAUUGAAGGCAGACCCGGGGAACUGAAACAUCUAAGUACCCGGAGGAAGAGAAAGCAAAUGCGAUUUCCUGAGUAGCGGCGAGCGAAACGGAAUUAGCCCAAACCAAGAGGCUUGCCUCUUGGGGUUGUAGGACACUCUAUACGGAGUUACAAAGGAACGAAGUAAAUGAAGCGACCUGGAAAGGUCCGUCGAAGAAGGUAACAACCCUGUAGUUGAAACUUCGUUCCCUCUUGAGUGGAUCCUGAGUACGGCGGAACACGUGAAAUUCCGUCGGAAGCUGGGAGGACCAUCUCCCAAGGCUAAAUACUACCUAGUGACCGAUAGUGAACCAGUACCGUGAGGGAAAGGUGAAAAGCACCCCGGAAGGGGAGUGAAAGAGAUCCUGAAACCGUGUGCCUACAAGUAGUCAGAGCCCGUUAACGGGUGAUGGCGUGCCUUUUGUAGAAUGAACCGGCGAGUUACGAUCCCAUGCAAGGUUAAGCUGAUAAGGCGGAGCCGUAGCGAAAGCGAGUCUGAAUAGGGCGUUUAGUAUGUGGUUGUAGACCCGAAACCAGGUGAUCUACCCAUGUCCAGGGUGAAGUUCAGGUAACACUGAAUGGAGGCCCGAACCCACGCACGUUGAAAAGUGCGGGGAUGAGGUGUGGGUAGCGGAGAAAUUCCAAUCGAACCUGGAGAUAGCUGGUUCUCUCCGAAAUAGCUUUAGGGCUAGCCUCAUGUUGUGAGAGUCUUGGAGGUAGAGCACUGAUUGGACUAGGGGCCCCCAACGGGUUACCGAAUUCAGUCAAACUCCGAAUGCCAAAGACUUAUCCAUGGGAGUCAGACUGCGAGUGAUAAGAUCCGUAGUCAAAAGGGAAACAGCCCAGACCACCAGCUAAGGUCCCCAAGUAUACGUUAAGUGGAAAAGGAUGUGGAGUUGCUUAGACAACCAGGAUGUUGGCUUAGAAGCAGCCACCAUUUAAAGAGUGCGUAAUAGCUCACUGGUCGAGUGACUCUGCGCCGAAAAUGUACCGGGGCUAAACGUAUCACCGAAGCUGUGGAUUGACAUCUUUGAUGUCAGUGGUAGGAGAGCGUUCUAAGUGCAGCGAAGUCAGACCGUAAGGACUGGUGGAGCGCUUAGAAGUGAGAAUGCCGGUAUGAGUAGCGAAAGACAAGUGAGAAUCUUGUCCACCGAAUGCCUAAGGUUUCCUGAGGAAGGCUCGUCCGCUCAGGGUUAGUCGGGACCUAAGCCGAGGCUGAAAAGCGUAGGCGAUGGCCAACAGGUUGAUAUUCCUGUACCACCUCCCCGCCGUUUGAGUAAUGGGGGGACGCAGUAGGAUAGGGUAAGCGCGCUGCUGGAUAUGCGCGUUCAAGCAGUUAGGCUGAUGAGUAGGCAAAUCCGCUCAUCAUAAAGGCUGAGCUGUGAUGACGAGGGAAUUAUAGUACCGAAGUUCCUGAUUCCACACUGCCAAGAAAAGCCUCUAGCGAGGCGGGAGGUGCCCGUACCGCAAACCGACACAGGUAGGCGAGGAGAGAAUCCUAAGGUGAUCGAGAGAACUCUCGUUAAGGAACUCGGCAAAAUGACCCCGUAACUUCGGGAGAAGGGGUGCUCUGGUAGGGUGUAUAGCCCGAGAGAGCCGCAGUGAAUAGGCCCAGGCGACUGUUUAGCAAAAACACAGGUCUCUGCGAAGCCGCAAGGCGAAGUAUAGGGGCUGACGCCUGCCCGGUGCUGGAAGGUUAAGAGGAGGGGUUAUCCUUUGGGAGAAGCUCUGAAUCGAAGCCCCAGUAAACGGCGGCCGUAACUAUAACGGUCCUAAGGUAGCGAAAUUCCUUGUCGGGUAAGUUCCGACCCGCACGAAAGGCGUAACGAUCUGGGCACUGUCUCAACGAGAGACUCGGUGAAAUUAUAGUACCUGUGAAGAUGCAGGUUACCCGCGACAGGACGGAAAGACCCCGUGGAGCUUUACUGUAGCCUGAUAUUGAAUUUUGGUACAGCUUGUACAGGAUAGGUAGGAGCCUGAGAAGCCGGAGCGCUAGCUUCGGUGGAGGCGUCGGUGGGAUACUACCCUGGCUGUAUUGAAAUUCUAACCCGCGGCCCUGAUCGGGCCGGGAGACAGUGUCAGGUGGGCAGUUUGACUGGGGCGGUCGCCUCCUAAAAUGUAACGGAGGCGCCCAAAGGUUCCCUCAGAAUGGUUGGAAAUCAUUCGUAGAGUGUAAAGGCACAAGGGAGCUUGACUGCGAGACCUACAAGUCGAGCAGGGACGAAAGUCGGGCUUAGUGAUCCGGUGGUUCCGCAUGGAAGGGCCAUCGCUCAACGGAUAAAAGCUACCCCGGGGAUAACAGGCUUAUCUCCCCCAAGAGUCCACAUCGACGGGGAGGUUUGGCACCUCGAUGUCGGCUCAUCGCAUCCUGGGGCUGUAGUCGGUCCCAAGGGUUGGGCUGUUCGCCCAUUAAAGCGGUACGCGAGCUGGGUUCAGAACGUCGUGAGACAGUUCGGUCCCUAUCCGUCGUGGGCGUAGGAAAUUUGAGAGGAGCUGUCCUUAGUACGAGAGGACCGGGAUGGACACACCGCUGGUGUACCAGUUGUCUUGCCAAAGGCAUCGCUGGGUAGCUAUGUGUGGACGGGAUAAGUGCUGAAAGCAUCUAAGCAUGAAGCCCCCCUCAAGAUGAGAUUUCCCAUAGCGCAAGCUAGUAAGAUCCCUGAAAGAUGAUCAGGUUGAUAGGUCAGAGGUGGAAGCGUGGCGACAUGUGUAGCUGACUGAUACUAAUCGAUCGAGGACUUAACCAAAC
rnacentral:rRNA from 2 species